UACAGAGGGUGCAAGCGUUAUUCGGAAUUACUGGGCGUAAAGCGCAUGUAGGUGGUUUGGUAAGUCCGGUGUGAAAUCCCUCGACUCAAUCGAGGAAGUGCAUUGGAUACUGCCAGACUAGAGUGUGGGAGAGGUGAGUGGAAUUCCAGGUGUAGAGGUGAAAUUCGUAGAUAUCUGGAGGAACAACAGAGGCGAAGGCGGCUCACUGGACCAUUACUGACACUGAGAUGCGAAAGCGUGGGGAGCAAACAGG
rnacentral:rRNA from 1 species